GCUGGGGAGAGAGAAAGAAAGAGAGCCGGGGCGUGCAGAACACGUUUCACAUCACCUCAGAGCUGUGGAAUUUCCUCUCUUCUGGGGGGAGGCCUGUGAAGAUGAAGUUGGUUGAAGGCCGGUGUCCUUCCUCGUGGUCUUAAGAGAAAGAGAGCGCCCUCCUCAAAACCUCCACCCCGGUGUGAAAGUGUGCCAAGCAGGAAAGCUGUUUCGGAUCUUGCAGUCUAUCAGGGUCAUCAUUUUCGAACAUCUAUUAGUGCCAUAUUGUAGUCGAGUGAGAGGUUCAGUUAAUAAAGAUUUCUGGUUGAUAGAUUGCUAAAGCAAGCAGCCUUUUGCACUGUCUUCUUUGAAUUGCUACUGAGCCAUAGAACAAUACACUCAGUCCCUUUUUUAUC